GAUACACUGUUACUUGGAGUUUGUUACUUUUGUGUUGCCAAAAUGCUGGAUGGUUGUUGUGCUUUCGAAUGCACUAAUUGACGACGAGACAAGCCUGAGCUGUGUUAGGUGAGGGAUUCCCUACAAGGUAAACGUAAAUAUUUCCACAGUCGAGCGCUGGCAGGGACCUGGCAGCUUUUAACGGCAGAAAUACUGCAGCAGGUGCUGUAUAUGGAUCGCAAGUGCCCAAUACUUGCAGUUUGUGUCCAUAUCUAUCUUUUUCUUGAGUUUAGAGGUGAUCCAAAUAAAAUUUAGCGGGUUUUGCGGUGUCUCUACAAGGGAGUCCUAUGUGAGCCACUAUCUUGGUCUGUUGUUUUGCCCUCCGCGCAUGUCACCUGACUCAAAAAUAUUAAUAGGAGUGUUGUGACAGUUUUUAUUUUUUUGGGCCAAGUUGAAAAGUGGGAGAAUCUAGCUAAUUAUAGUUUUCAGUCACAUGACAUGGCAAUCCAGGAAAUCUGCAUCUUAUGCUUCAUUAGGUGGUGGGACAAGCUGGCCAGGAUGACAGGUUUGACUUUGACGAUUCAGGCAACGCUACUUUACGGAUGAAAGUUUCGGAGGCAGUUUGUAAACUUGUGGGCCAGGCUUUCAUAUGCCACUGUUGCUCUGCGGUCGUCUUCUGCAGUGGUCUGUGAGACUGUGAAGGGCUCUGUGAGCCUGACUGGCCUGCUGGCUAGCUACCCCCGCAGGCACUGUGGAGCUUCUCAAUUCCAGAAAUGUUGGAGAACAUUUUGAUUCACCAUCAAUAAAAUGUCAAUAUUUGAUAUUUCUCGCCUUAAACAAUCUCAGAAGUGAAUUUAGUGAUUAAACAGCAUACAAAAACUGAAAA